CCUCCGCUCAGCCGCCACAGUGAUUGUCGUCAAGUCUGCCACAGGAGGAUAUUUUUGAGGUUAACCUGCUCCCUUUCCUCGCAGGUUGUUUAUCAAUGUUUGUGUAAUUUUAUUAACUCCUAGAAUUUUCGCAUGUGUUAGAAGUAUUUAUUUGAUUAUGGUUUGUAAUAUUAUUAUAAUGUUGGACCUGUAAACGUAUAAUGAUAUGCAUGUUUGAUGGAUUGGAUGAGGGAGCUGAGCUCCCAUUUA